UUAAUUGAAGAGUUUGAUCAUGGCUCAGAUUGAACGCUGGCGGCAGGCCUAACACAUGCAAGUCGAGCGGUAGCACAGGAGAGCUUGCUCUCUGGGUGACGAGCGGCGGACGGGUGAGUAAUGUCUGGGAAACUGCCUGAUGGAGGGGGAUAACUACUGGAAACGGUAGCUAAUACCGCAUGACGUCUUCGGACCAAAGUGGGGGACCUUCGGGCCUCACGCCAUCAGAUGUGCCCAGAUGGGAUUAGCUAGUAGGUGGGGUAAUGGCUCACCUAGGCGACGAUCUCUAGCUGGUCUGAGAGGAUGACCAGCCACACUGGAACUGAGACACGGUCCAGACUCCUACGGGAGGCAGCAGUGGGGAAUAUUGCACAAUGGGCGCAAGCCUGAUGCAGCCAUGCCGCGUGUAUGAAGAAGGCCUUCGGGUUGUAAAGUACUUUCAGCGAGGAGGAAGGCAUUGUGGUUAAUAACCGCAGUGAUUGACGUUACUCGCAGAAGAAGCACCGGCUAACUCCGUGCCAGCAGCCGCGGUAA
rnacentral:rRNA from 1 species